CGCGGAAUGGAGUCGAUGGUUAGCUCACCACUUUGACUUGGUGGGGUGCAGGUUCGAAUCCUAUUUUCGUGA
rnacentral:tRNA from 1 species